rnacentral:rRNA from 1 species
GACGAACGCUGGCGGCGUGCUUAACACAUGCAAGUCGAACGAGAUCCUUCGGGGUCUAGUGGCGAACGGGUGAGUAACACGUGAGCAACCUGCCCCUGGCUCUGGGAUAGCCUCCGGAAACGGGGAUUAAUACCGGACAUUCACUUUCUUCCGCAUGGUGGAGGGUGGAAAGUUUUUCGGCCAGGGAGGGGCUCGCGGCCUAUCAGCUUGUUGGGGGGGUAACGGCCCACCAAGGCGACGACGGGUAGCCGGCCUGAGAGGGCGACCGGCCACACUG